rnacentral:lncRNA from 1 species
UGGUAGAGUCUCACAGUUACUACUUUAAGCAGCAGAUGAAAGCAUACAAAAGCCUUUAGGCACAUAAAAGCCUUCACAACUGGAUUUGUUUUGAAAGUUGGAGUAAAAAUUGUUAAUGAUUUCUAUAUUAUUGUUGGAAAGGUGAAGCAUUCCCAAAAAGCUAAUGGUAAACCACUAGAUGCUUGGGUGAUAGCCAGAUCCAAUGGCAUAGCAAAUGCACAUUGUAUGUGUAUGGCCGGAAAUAGUGAAGUUUGCAGCCAUAUUGCAGCAAUCUUAUUUGCAGAUGAGUAUGCCCACAGCAAGACAGAAGACGAAGAACCCAAUGCAUGUACAGAUGUUAUAGCUAUGUACAUUCUCUGAUGAAAAGCUAAUGAGUUUUGAAACUGUUUGCUCAGAGUGCUUGUUGCGCUCUCUAAACCAACUGAAAUAUAAGACGGCUUUGGCUUCAUGUUGCAGCGAUAUGAAAAUGGUAAUUCAUUUUUAAUUAUAAUGUACUUCUUCAUCAUGAGUAUUUAUGUAUUAGUCUUUUAAGUGUGUAUUAUCAGAUAUCACGUGUAAAUUGUUUUUAUCAUUUUAAUUUGGUCAUUACAGUCCCUUAAUCAAAAAAUAUAUUUUUCAGGUGUCUGUAGAUCUUUUUGUAUGCAAAAAUGUGUAAUAAUUAUUUGAAAUCAAUUUGAGGAUUAUAAGAGUAUGGAAAUAUAUGUGAGAACACAGACUAUUAUA